CACGUAGGCACCAAGCGUUGUCCGGAUUUAUUGGGCGUAAAGAGCUCGUAGGCGGUUCGAUAAGUCGGGUGUGAAAACUUUGGGCUCAACCCAAAGCGUGCAUUCGAUACUGUUGUGACUAGAGUUCGGUAGGGGAGUGGGGAAUUCCUAGUGUAGCGGUGAAAUGCGCAGAUAUUAGGAGGAACACCGGUGGCGAAGGCGCCACUCUGGGCCGAAACUGACGCUGAGGAGCGAAAGCGUGGGUAGCAAACAGG
rnacentral:rRNA from 2 species